rnacentral:misc_RNA from 1 species
AGUGGAAGAGUUUCAAAAGCAAAAAAUCUGAACAGUUAGGACAGCUAUCCAGUAUCCACCAUGCAAUUUCUAUAUGCUUUUCUGAAAUUCAUUUUGUCAUCUUUCACUAGGCAUGACAAAGCACUGAAAAAAUAAGAUUCUUGCAGUGAUUGGGGGGAAAAAAUCCUAGGAGUAAGUAAAUUGUUCAUUACAAACGCAAAGUCCCUAGUAACCCAAAGCCACUAAAUUCUAAUGGUUGGCCUUGCCACAAGAAGUUGAAAUUCAUACAGCAAAUCUCCAUCUGAAGCCACAUGGAAAUUUAGACAGAGUAUUAGACAAAGCUAUGUUAGGAACAUACCAGCUAAAGCAUCAUAAACUCCAUAAGCUGAAUAUUUGGGCCAAUUUUGCUGACUCCAGAGAGAAGUUUACCUGUUCAAAGAGGUCUAGAAUUCAAACAUUUAGUUCUACCAUGGUCCUACAAUAGAUGCUAAAAAUUACAAAUAUUCAUGUGAAAUAAGCUAAGGAGGACAAAUCCAAUUAAAAAUACAAACAUGCAUGAGAUAAGCUAGAAAGGACUGAAACUUGAGCAACAGGAAAGGUCAUAAUUCAAAUAUAACCACAAUGUCAAAAACUAAUAUAGUAGCUCAAAUUGAGACCUUAAUAUUUCACAAUACUUCACAACAGAUGCAAAGAAAAUGGAUAUGCAAUGAUGAAAAUAGAAUUGAUUUGCACUAGUGUUUUUAAUUUAAUUAAUUAAUUUCCAGUUCCAAUUUUAAUUAACCUAAGUAGCCAAAGAUGAAAACCAAAAAAGGUUAUCAGAACACAGUAUCAGAAGUGAUUAGAGGAGUAAAGAAAAUCUAAUGACAAAAAAGGAGUAUAAAGUUAUUUUGUGGCUGCUUCCAAUAAAAUCCCUGCAAGACAUGUAAAUUGACAUUGUUAUAAUAAUUAAAAAGUAUGCUUCAAUAUGAGAUGAAUCCAACCAGAAUGUAGAUUCCAGCAAAUAGAAUGCCAACAGCACAAGCACAAGUAACUGAAUGAAAGAAAUUAAUCAUAAAUUAAACCUAAAUUAAUUCUUAAUUAAUACAAAAACCCAUAAAUUUGUAAGCUUUAAUUUGUGUACCGUAAUACAAAAUCCAUUUCUGCAUGCAAUUUUCUUAGUUCAACUCAUUGUUUGUUAUUGGUAUCAAUAAACCUCUUUAACAGAACGAAAUCCCAGAUGUUGACAUCAAGCAAGCCUCUCAAGAGUGCCUAAAUCAAGCCAAGGACGAAGACACAACCACAAACCCCUCUAUCCACAGCGAGAUCGAGGGAUGGGGAUUCUGUGCACAGGCGAGAUGGGGGAAGAUGACAAGUGAAGAUUUGGGGAAAAUAGUGAGUGAAUCGAGAGAAAGGAUAAGGAUUCAGUAUGUUUAAAUUUAAAUUUUAAUUAGUUUAACGAAAAACUAGUUACAACAAAGGCAACCUUUUUUCCAAACAACAGAAGUCACUUGACUUUACAGUACGUUUGCUUCAAAGCAUAGUUACCACUAAGGCGUGGUCCCG